AUGUGGUGUCGCUUUGUGAGCAAAACAUGCAUGGAUUGUACUUUCUGUAUGUGAGAAAACUGACACUGGUGUGGUCUGAGCGUUGUUCAGGAUGUUUAACAUUCAUGCACUUUAUACAAACUCAUCUUUUAAUUCGCACCAUUUAAUUCGACACUUAAAUGAACACGUGAUAUUGGGAUGGAAACUAAUGACUGAGGUCACAUGCAAACAACAUCCCCGAAUGAUGUUGAUCUCCGCCAUGACAUCAUCAGGCUUCGACGCUGUAUGCACGCGUGUCGUCGGAGGCAGCCGCGAGCACGCACGUACAGCUGCGAGACCAUGUCUGCGUCGCCUCGUGCAUCUGGAAGCGAAGACGAGGCGUCGCGCGAAUCUCCGUUUCCGCCGGAUCAGUACGAGUAUAACAUAUGUUACAACUACUUCAGUUUGGACCGUCGCGCACCGAAGAUUCCGGGCUGCUCUCACACGUUCUGUGAGGAGUGCUUAAACACGAUGUACGUCCGCGAGGACAGUCCGAGGCGCGUGGCAUGCCCGUUAUGCCAGAUCGUCGGAUACGUAACCUCCCCAACCAAACCAAGCUGGCGGAAGCCCUCCCUCUGUUUUCCAGGCACAGCCUGUGCUCGAGCUCACCACGAGGGGCACCAGAGACUGCGGCGUUUGCUUCCGCAUGCCACGAGCGCAUUCACGAGAGGCGGCAGACGUGCAACCGCGUGAUCUUUACCGCAGACUGCGUCUGCGUCAUCUUUGCGUUUCUGUGCACGCUAGUGCUGUUGAUCAUUGGACUGAUGUUCGUGAUUAACUCCAGCAAGCCACUGUCGCCCGUGGGGCCCAUCUGCCUCUCCUUAGGGAGCGUGAUAUUGAUGUUCUCUGUUGUUGUCACGUGGUUGUUAUGUUGGAUUAAGUACCAUCUCGAGCCCAAUGACGGGCGCUGGGAGAAACGCACACAUAUAUAUAUAGUCAGAGCAUAAAGUUGAUAUUACGUUGUAGCUCAUCGGAAAGGAAUGUUUUGUCGCUGUCAGUAUAGAACGUCAGCCUGCAAACUCACAAACAAACCAGCCGAGGAGACUGCAGUGUUACGAAAACGAACCCUUUAUGUCAAUAUGUGCGCCUUAAAGUGGACACAUUAAAACCGAGCACAUCCAGCACGUGAACUCUGAGGGUUUUGCUGUUGUGUCAGUGCCGCGAGGAUCCGUUCGGGUCAGGCGAGCGCCCAAAUGCAGUCCACAGAUGUCAGCUUACUCUUUGUUAGACGAACAGUAGGAGUACGGUGAAUUUACAAAAACUCGCAUAUUUAUGCAUGUUACAGAGAUGACCAUUUGAAAUAAAGUUAUUUAGGAUCA